AUCCUACGGGGGGCAGCAGUGAGGAAUAUUGGUCAAUGGGCGCGAGCCUGAACCAGCCAAGUCGCGUGAGGGAAGACGGUCCUAUGGAUUGUAAACCUCUUUUGUCGGGGAGCAAAAGACGCCACGCGUGGCGUUCCGAGAGUACCCGAAGAAAAAGCAUCGGCUAACUAUGUGCCAGCAGCCGCGGUAAUACAUAGGGAGCAAGCGUUAUCCGGAUUUAUUGGGUGUAAAGGGGUGCGUAGACGGGAAAUUAAGUUAGUUGUGAAAUCCCUCGGCUUAACUGAGGAACUGCAACUAAAACUGAU
rnacentral:rRNA from 1 species